UACGUAGGGGUGCGAGCGUUAAUCGGAAUUACUGGGCGUAAAGCGUGCGCAGGCGGUUUUGUAAGCCAGAUGUGAAAUCCCCGGGCUUAACCUGGGAAUGGCAUUUGGGACUGCAAGGCUUGAGUGCGGCAGAGGAGACUGGAAUUCCUGGUGUAGCAGUGAAAUGCGUAGAUAUCAGGAGGAACACCGAUGGCGAAGGCAGGUCUCUGGGCUGACACUGACGCUCAUGCACGAAAGCGUGGGGGAGCAAACAGG
rnacentral:rRNA from 1 species